GAUGAACGCUGGCGGCGUGGAUAAGGCAUGCAAGUCGAAUGCAUUUAGUUGCAUGGCAAACGGGUUAGUAACACGUAGGGAUCUGCCCCAAAGUCGUGAAUAACCUCGUGAAAACGAGAAUAAUACACGAUGUGCUCUAUGGAGUAAAGUUUUAACGCUUUGGGAGGAACCUGCGUCCUAUCAGCUUGUUGGUGAGGUAAUAGCUCACCAAGGCUAUGACGGGUAGGGGGUGUGAGAGCAUGGCCCCCAACAUUGGCACUUAGACACUGGCCAAACACCUACGGGUGGCUGCAGUCGAGAAUAUUCGGCAAUGGGCGAAAGCCUGACCGAGCGACGCCGCGUGCGGGAUGACAGUCCUAGGAUUGUAAACCGCUUUUAUAUGGGAUCAAUUUUUUAUGAGCGUACCAUAUGAAUAAGAGGUUACUAACUCUG
rnacentral:rRNA from 1 species